CCUACGGGCGGCUGCAGUAGGGAAUAUUGCUCAAUGGGGGAAACCCUGAAGCAGCAACGCCGCGUGGAGGAAGAAGGUUUUCGGAUUGUAAACUCCUUUUGUUAGGGAAGAUAAUGACGGUAUCUAACGAAUAAGCACCGGCUAACUCCGUGCCAGCAGCCGCGGUAAUACGGAGGGUGCAAGCGUUACUCGGAAUCACUGGGCGUAAAGAGCGCGUAGGCGGGAUAGCAAGUCAGAUGUGAAAUACUAUGGCUUAACCAUAGAACUGCAUUUGAAACUGUUAUUCUAGAGUAUGGGAGAGGUAGGUGGAAUUCUUGGUGUAGCGGUAAAAUGCGUAGAGAUCAAGAGGAAUACUCAUUGCGAAGGCGACCUGCUAGAACAUAACUGACGCUGAUGCGCGAAAGCGUGGGGAGCAAACAGGAUUAGAUACCCUUGUAGUC
rnacentral:rRNA from 1 species